rnacentral:rRNA from 1 species
GAUGAACGCUGGCGGCGUGCUUAACACAUGCAAGUCGAACGGGAUCCAAGGGGUGCUUGCACUUUUUGGUGAGAGUGGCGAACGGGUGAGUAACACGUGAGUAACCUGUCCUUUUCUUUGGGAUAAGCAUUCGAAAGGGUGUUUAAUACCUUAUGUUCUGUCUGCUUCGCAUGGGGUGGGUGGGAAAGGCUUUGGCCGGAUUUGGGUGGGCUCGCGGUCUAUCAGCUUGUUGGUGGGGUGAUGGCUUACCAAGGCUUUGACGGGUAGCCGGCCUGAGAGGGUGGUCGGUCACAUGGGGACUGAGAUACGGCCCAGAGUGCUGCGGGAGGCAGCCGUGGGGGAUAUUGCACAAUGGGCGAAAGCCUGAUGCAGCGACGCCGAGUGGGGGAUGAAGGCGUUCGGGUUGUAAACUUCUGUUGCUCUGAACAAGGCAUGCCAGUGGGUGUGUGGAGUGUAGGGGUUGAUUAGCGCCGGCUAACUACGUG